rnacentral:rRNA from 1 species
UUGAACGCUGGCGGCAGGCCUAACACAUGCAAGUCGAGCGGCAGCGCGGGGCAACCUGGCGGCGAGCGGCGAACGGGUGAGUAACGCGUAGGAAUCUACCCAGUAGCGGGGGAUAGCCCGGGGAAACUCGGAUUAAUACCGCAUACGCCCUAAGGGGGAAAGCAGGGGAUCUUCGGACCUUGCACUAUUGGAAGAGCCUGCGUUGGAUUAGCUAGUUGGUAGGGUAAAGGCCUACCAAGGCGACGAUCCAUAGCUGGUCUGAGAGGAUGAUCAGCCACACCGGAACUGGGACACGGUCCGGACUCCUACGGGAGGCAGAGGUGGGGAAUAUUGGACAAUGGGGGCAACCCUGAUCCAGCCAUGCCGCGUGUGUGAAGAAGGCCUUCGGGUUGUAAAGCACUUUAAGUGGGGAGAAAGGCUCGGCAGCUAAUAUCUGCCGGGAUUGAUGCUACCCACAGAAUAAGCACCGGCUAACUCUGUGCCAGCCGCCGCCGUAA